GAUGAACGCUGGCGGCGUGCCUAAUACAUGCAAGUCGAGCGAACGGACGAGAAGCUUGCUUCUCUGAUGUUAGCGGCGGACGGGUGAGUAACACGUGGAUAACCUACCUAUAAGACUGGGAUAACUUCGGGAAACCGGAGCUAAUACCGGAUAAUCUUUUGAACCGCAUGGUUCAAAAGUGAAAGACGGUCUUGCUGUCACUUAUAGAUGGAUCCGCGCUGCAUUAGCUAGUUGGUAAGGUAACGGCUUACCAAGGCAACGAUGCAUAGCCGACCUGAGAGGGUGAUCGGCCACACUGGAACUGAGACACGGUCCAGACUCCUACGGGAGGCAGCAGUAGGGAAUCUUCCGCAAUGGGCGAAAGCCUGACGGAGCAACGCCGCGUGAGGGAUGAAGGUCUUCGGAUCGUAGAACUCUGUUAUUAGGGAAGAACAUAUGUGUAAGUAACUGUGCACAUCUUGACGGUACCUAAUCAGAAAGCCACGGCUAACUACGUG
rnacentral:rRNA from 1 species